rnacentral:rRNA from 1 species
UACAGAGGGGGCUAGCGUUGUUCGGAAUUACUGGGCGUAAAGGGCGCGUAGGCGGCCUGCUAAGUCGAACGUGAAAUCCCUGGGCUCAACCCAGGGACUGCGUCCGAUACUGGUUGGCUUGAAUCCGGGAGAGGGACGUGGAAUUCCAGGUGUAGCGGUGAAAUGCGUAGAUAUCUGGAGGAACACCGGUGGCGAAGGCGACGACCUGGACCGGUAUUGACGCUGAGGCGCGAAAGCCAGGGGAGCAAACGGG